rnacentral:rRNA from 1 species
CCUACGGGAGGCAGCAGUGAGGAAUAUUGGUCAAUGGCCGGAAGGCUGAACCAGCCAUGCCGCGUGAGGGUCAGUGCCCUAUGGGCGUUAAACUUCUUUUGUACGGGAGCAAUAUUGGUCACGUGUGGCCAGACGAGUGUACCGUACGAAUAAGCCCCGGCUAACUACGUGCCAGCAGCCGCGGUAAUACGUAGGGGGCAAGCGUUAUCCGGAUUUACUGGGUGUAAAGGGGGCGCAGACGGCUGCGUAAGUCAGGAGUGAAAGCCAGGGGCGCAACCCCGGGACUGCUGUUGGAACUGGGUGGCUGGAGUGUAGGAGAGGCAGGCGGAAUGCGUGGUGUAGCGGUGAAAUGCGUAGAUAUCAGGAGGAACACCGGUUGCGAAGGCGGCUUGCUGGACUGCAACUGACGUUGAGGCCCGAAAGCGUGGGGAGCAAACAGGAUUAGAGACCCCUGUAGUC